CGAAAUUGUGGUUUUCAAUAUUUAGCAGAAUAUCAACAAAGUGCAGAGCACAUUUUUAAUGGAAACGCAGUUCGUGUCAGGAUGUCACAGCUGACAUUCAUUCUGGUAAUUAGGCUCACCUGCUUCCAUGCCAGUAAUCACAUUCCCCAGUCUCUCAUGUUAUGCUCUUCUCCACUGGUUCCUAUAGUUGACCUUUCCCUGGCUCCUGUGACUCCCCCAUGUUUUUUCUCUUUCCUUUCUGAAGACUGGCAUGACCGUGGAAAAACGUUACCGUGUGGUGAGUCAUUUGUCUUGAUUUGACCACAAUCAUCCUGCUGAAAGACCUAAUAGCAAUCCAUUUUCAGUUUUCUGGCAGACAUCACUGGAUUUUUAUUUAAAACCUCUGAGGAUUUCAAAAUUUCCAGACACUAUGCACUCUAACAUAUCGCCUUUGGAAGAGAAGCAGAACCUCCACGACACUCAACAGGUAGCAUUCCUGUUAGGUAGCAUUCCCACAUGUUACUCCUUUUUCAUAGAGACUCACCUGGAGUGUUUGCUAGGAGAAAAUAAAUGUCAAUCUUGGUAUCAUUUGACCACACCACAUAGUUCCAGUUAAAGCUCCAGCAGCGUUUGGUUUGUGAUUGUACGAGCCUUGUAGAUAGUCCAAUGGAAAAAGUGAGACGAGAGUUGAAGAAUAAAGAAAAAACUGACA